rnacentral:rRNA from 1 species
GUCCACGCCCUAAACGAUGACGACUAGUUGUUGGGGGAGUUAAAUCCCUCAGUAACGCAGCUAACGCGUGAAGUCGUCCGCCUGGGGAGUACGGUCGCAAGAUUAAAAACUCAAAGGAAUUGACGGGGGCCCGCACAAGCGGUGGAUGAUGUGGUUUAAUUCGACGCAACGCGAAAAACCUUACCUACCCUUGACAUGUGAGGGACCCUGCAGAGAUGCAGGGGUGCCCGAAAGGGAACCUCAACACAGGUGCUGCAUGGCUGUCGU